UUUCAUUUGUCAGUGUGGAUCUGCUGAGUCACCUGAAGAAGUCAUUUCAUUCUCCACGAUGUUGAUUUACAGAAAUGUUUCACAGGAACUGAUUCCUCCCAAAGGGUGAACUAGUGUGUUUCCAUAGAUUAUCUCUGUAUGAAUGUACUUCUUAAAUGAAGGCAAGUGUUUGUCCUGUUUUGUUCCUCAGGUACAGCACGUGAUAUUAAGGGCAGGCGGUCAUCACUGGGGGAAGACAAGAAGCAGACGUACUUCCAAGAGGGAGCUGCAGUGAGGACACAGCCUGGUCACUGAGACAAAGCCGAUGGCAGAAGAUGUUUGGAGAAGAACUUCAGGCCGUGGACUGAAAAGUAGAUCAAAGCAGCUCGUGCUCCUUCUGCUUCCAUUUUAAUGGCAAGAAGAAGAAGACUUCAGCGAAGUGGCGUUCAUGGUCUCAGUGGACAGUCAUGGUCACACACUGCAUGUGGUUUUUAAAGCAACAUGUCUGUUCACAACAAUGGAGAUGUGUAAUAUUAGUGCAGCUACGGUUCGUUCUUGAACAUCAGUUCUGUUUUCUACUUUGACCACUUACACCAAAAUAGGUUUGUUUUCAGAUUCUUUCUUUUAAAUCUAUAAAGCACCUGUUCAUUUUUAUUACAAUUAGUUUCACAUAAAUGUUAGUGUUUCCUUUAUGGUCUUUUAAUGCUUACACUAGACUGUACACGUCUACAUUAGAGACAUUUCUGUUACCUGUUUCUGUUGACUCAGAGUUGUGAAAUGUUCUUUGAUUAGAUACACAAUAUGAAGUUCAUAAUUUUCUUACAAAUAAAACUCUA